UAUGGGUGCCACAAGCACCCGCAGCCGGAAGAGGUUCCAAAAGACGUGUUCAAAAAAAGAAAACAGGCUAACGCCUGCCAGCUUCUCAAAACAUAAAGUUGCGCUUUGCCGACCUGGUGGUUAUGGCGGGGUGGCUGCACCCGUUCCCUUUCCGAACACGGCCGUGAAACGCCCCUGCGCCCAUGGUACUUCGUCUUAAGACGCGGGAGAGUAGGUCGCUGCCAGGU
rnacentral:rRNA from 1 species